UACGGAGGAUCCGAGCGUUAUCCGGAUUUAUUGGGUUUAAAGGGUGCGUAGGUGGAUUGGUAAGUCAGUGGUGAAAGUUUGCAGCUUAACUGUAAAAUUGCCGUUGAAACUGCCGGUCUUGAGUGCAAAUGAGGUAGGCGGAAUGCGUCGUGUAGCGGUGAAAUGCAUAGAUAUCACGAGGAACUCCGAUUGCGCAGGCAGCUUACUAAACCAUAACUGACGCUCAAGCACGAAGGCGUGGGGAUCAAACAGGAUUAGAUACCCG
rnacentral:rRNA from 1 species